ACGUAGUUAGCCGGGACUUAUUCCUGGGUACCGUCCUUGUCUCUUCCCCCAUAAAAGGGCUUUACGACCCGAAGGCCUUCAUCGCCCACGCGGCGUCGCUGCAUCCAGCUUUCGCUGAUUGUGCAAUAUCCCC
rnacentral:rRNA from 1 species